rnacentral:tRNA from 1 species
UCCUUGGUGAUUCAGUGGUUAGGAUUUGGGCUUUUACUGCCAGGGGCCCAGGUUCGACCCCUGAUCAGGGAA